rnacentral:rRNA from 1 species
GGGCUCACACAAGCGGUGGAGCAUGUGGAUCAAUUCGAAGCAACGCGCAGAACCUUACCUGGGUUUGACAUGCACGGAUGCCGUCGAGGAAACUCGAGCCGGCUGCCUUCGGGUGAAACGUGUACAGGUGCUGCAUGGCUGUCGUCAGCUCGUGCUGUGAAGUGUCGGGUUAAGUCCCUUAACGAGCGAAACCCUUGUCGCUAGUUGCCAGCGGGUCAAGCCGGGAACUCUAGCGAGACUGCCGGCGUUAAGCCGGAGGAAGGUGGGGACGACGUCAAGUCAUCAUGGCCUUUAUGCCCAGGGUGUCACACGUGCUACAAUGGGGUGGUACAGAGCGAAGCAAGACCGUGAGGUGGAGCAAAUCGCAGAAAACACCCCUCAGUUCGGAUUGGGGUCUGCAAUUCGACCCCAUGAAGUUGGAAUCGCUAGUAAUCGCGCAUCAGCCAUGGCGCGGUGAAUGUGUUCCUGAGCCUU